rnacentral:rRNA from 1 species
UACGUAGGGAGCAAGCGUUGUCCGGAAUCAUUGGGCGUAAAGCGCGCGUAGGCGGCCCCGUAAGUCCGCUGUGAAAGUCAAAGGCUCAACCUUUGAAAGCCGGUGGAUACUGUGGGGCUAGAGUCCGGAAGAGGCGAGUGGAAUUCCUGGUGUAGCGGUGGAAUGCGCAGAUAUCAGGAGGAACACCGGUGGCGAAGGCGGUUCUCUGGGCCUGUACUGACGCUGAGGAGCGAAAGCGUGGGGAGCGAACAGG